GUGGGACACCAUCCCUCGACACCGUGGAGAGUGGCUAUGGGCUCAAUAUCCAGCUUCCCUACCCCUCUCCUCUGAACCUUGCCCCUUCUGGAGAGGCAGGUCUUUGGGUACCAGAUGCUUAGAGCUGGGGACGGUGACCUGCCCACCUCCAGCUCUGUCCUCCGGUCUCUGCAUCCACGCCCACCAUCUAUGCAUCUCACCUGCUCUGCCUGCAGCCUCAGACCAUCUCCCACCUCCCCAGGCUCUCUGGCCUCUGCCUUCUGGCCUUGUUCAUGGUUCCCUCAGAGAGGGAACAACAGCCUCCCCAUCCCAAAUCUAAAUUCGUUUUCCAUGUGUAUAUGUUCUUUGAGUGCCUUAUUCUUUUCCUUCACUGGAAUUUCAGAACUUUUUCAAAUGGAAUCUUAUAUUUAUUUAUGAUAUAUAUUUAUUUAUCUUAUAUUUAUUUAUGAUAUUUAUUUAUUUAUCUUGUAUUUAUUUAUCUAUUUAAACAAAUCUGUCUCUGUUUGAGGGGGACCGCAUGAAGGUGGGAACUUGGUGGCGGUCAUUUCUGGUCAUGUGUCUAGCAGGGCAUAUUAUAUUCCCAAGGAGUAAAUGACAGAAUCCCCAGGACAGAAUGAGCAACCGAGCCAGUGCUUCCAUAACUUUAGUCUCAGGAGCAGCGGCAGCAGCAGCUCCUGGGAACUUGCUAGAUAGACUUUGGGUGUGGACCCAGCAAUCUGGGUUUGAACCAACUGGGCACUGGGAGUCAGGGACACACAAAAGUUUGAGAACUAAUGCUGUCGGAUCAGCGUUCACUGUGGCAAAGGGCCGCCUCUAGGAGACGCGGAGGAUGGGCAAGGCCACAUCUUCAAAUGAGGCAAGGGGCAGCCCUUCUCUAAGGAGGGGCGGGCCGACCCCACCCCGGCCCGCCGUGCUGUUCGGCGGACUGGCCACUGGAGGGCAGUGCGACCACGUCCAUCGCGCCCCUGCUCGGGCCGCAGGCGGGAGCAGCCCUCGGAGCAGCCGGGGAAGGCGGCUGCGGUGGCUUCAGCCAGGAGAGAAGACAUCGAAAGGGAUCGCGGCCCAGGCUGCGGCCUCAGCUCACCGGCCUCAGACGUUCUCAAAGGCCAAAGGGGCCCCGCCGGCGUGCACCUGCGGCCCGGGUAUCGCCGAGGGGUAUCGCCGGGUAUCGCCAAGACCCGGCCAGCCGCCUGCAAGGCCAGGAGCAGAAAGCCGCGGGCAGCAGACGUAGCUGCUAGUGGUCAUCAGGUGUUUGGGGCAAGCUGAGCGCCUGGAUCCCAGACAAGCGUGUAUCCAAGUGUCCUAUGGUGUUGCUCACAGCAUGCAGUGCAGCUUCUUCACAGGCUGCCAGUCUCCAAGCCGGGUCAAGGACAAGCAGGCUGGAGCAGAAUCCAAGUAGUCACCCCUUUCAGGCCCUCUCCACGUGAGGACUUUGCCAUUCAAGGAGCCAGAGGACUUGCUGGGCCCGCUGCCCCUGUGGUCUUAUACCUGAUCUGGUUCAUACAUUGAUCUUGGCUCUCUGUGAUUGGGUACUUCUCAGCUUCCAGAAUAUUCUUGCUUCUAAAUAUCAGCCCUUCAAGGUCCAGCUUAAAUAUCAGCUCCACCAGGAAGCCUUCCUCCAUACUCCCCUCUUUGUUUUCAGCAGCGCCUGUCUUUUCCGUCCCUGCCCACCUGUAGUGCCAGUUGGCCUCUGCUGUGGAACUCUCCUCUUUUCUUCUCUGCACCCUCCCCCCACUGAAUUGUGGGCACCUGGAGGGUGGGGACAGUGUGACGGUGGUCUUUGCAUCCCCCAUGGUGCCUUGCACAAGUGGGUCAUUCCAGAAAGGGUGGUUGCAAGAGAAUCAUGAAAUUAUUGAAUGGGUUUUGGUGUUGUAAACAACUUCCCAAACAUUUUGAACCUUGAGCAAAGAAACAUGUAAUGGUGUUUUCUUAAGCCCUGUCAUGGAAUCCUUUUGUGUGUUU